rnacentral:rRNA from 1 species
AAACAGGACAGAGCUACAUGGAAUAAUGGUCGCACUAUUUUUUUUGUGUCAAUGAUGAAAGAGUGUGCAGAUGUGGGAAGGUACCAUGGCCAAAGUGGGUGGACCAAGGAAGGAUGGCAAGCUAUGAAAAACCGCCUUAAUGAGAGGCCUCCUGGAGCUAAUUUCACUGUUCAACAGUUGAAAGAUAGAGAGCAAAGGUUGAAGAAGGAACUUAAUGUUGUCAAGUCUAUUGUAGAAAAGAGUGGUUUCGGUUGGGAUCCUCAUAACAAAGUGCCAACGACUAUAGAUGAAAAAUGGACAGAGCUAAGCGAACAUCGCAAGUGGAGAUACAAACAAUUCCCGUAUUAUGAUGUUUUAUAUGAAAUUUACGAAGGUCAAAUGGAAGAAGGAAAGAAUUGCAAAAGGACAACCGAUGGUAAUGAAGAGAGGUACAAUAAUGUGUCCCAUUUUCCUGAACAUGGAAGUUAUACUGAUGAUGUUUUGAGGGCUGCCGGUAUGAAUUCUCCUGAGGCAACACUAUCUGCUCCAGGAUCAUCAAUGCCAGAAUAUGAGUUGGGCAGAGAUAUAUAUGGGGAUGAUGUUGACUUAUCAUAUGGUGAAUAUACAUAA